GAUGAACGCUGGCGGCGUGCCUAAUACAUGCAAGUAGAACGCUGAAGGAGGAGCUUGCUCUUCUGGAUGAGUUGCGAACGGGUGAGUAACGCGUAGGUAACCUGCCUGGUAGCGGGGGAUAACUAUUGGAAACGAUAGCUAAUACCGCAUGACAACAGUUAUUGCAUGAUAACUGUUUAAAAGGGGCAACUGCUCCACUACCAGAUGGACCUGCGUUGUAUUAGCUAGUUGGUGAGGUAACGGCUCACCAAGGCGACGAUACAUAGCCGACCUGAGAGGGGGGUCGGCCACACUGGGACUGAGACACGGCCCAGACGCCUACGGGAGGCAGCAGUAGGGAAUCUUCGGCAAUGGACGGAAGUCUGACCGAGCAACGCCGCGUGAGUGAAGAAGGUUUUCGGAUCGUAAAGCUCUGUUGUAAGAGAAGAACGAGUGUGAGAGUGGAAAGUUCACACUGUGACGGUAUCUUACCAGAAAGGGACGGCUAACUACGUG
rnacentral:rRNA from 1 species